UACGUAGGGACCAAGCGUUGUUCGGAUUUACUGGGCGUAAAGGGCGCGUAGGCGGCGUGGUAAGUCACUUGUGAAAUCUCUGAGCUUAACUCAGAACGGUCAAGUGAUACUGCUGUGCUAGAGUGCGGAAGGGGCAAUCGGAAUUCUUGGUGUAGCGGUGAAAUGCGUAGAUAUCAAGAGGAACACCUGAGGUGAAGACGGGUUGCUGGGCCGACACUGACGCUGAUGCGCGAAAGCGUGGGGAGCAAACAGG
rnacentral:rRNA from 1 species